GUACUCGCUUGGGUAGCACAUAUACUAAAAUAGGAACAAUACAGAAAAGAUUAGCAUGGCCCCUGCGCAAGGGUGACACGCAAAUUUGUGAAGUGUUCCAUAUUUUU
rnacentral:snRNA from 1 species